AAAAACACUUUUACUCUCCAACAAUAACAUGGCUUUGAUGUUUUCAGCUUAAAAGUCUUAAAACUGCAACAAUCCAACAUUCCAAACCCUGCCUAUGGCUUUGAGGGCGGCUGCGGUUGCGGCGCAGCCUUCGUCGCGCAGUCUAUGGCGGCUGCUCUCGAGCCGUUCUGCUUAUCCUCCGUCGGCUACUGCCGCAGCGUUUGCUCCACAAGCGGUGGAACCCAAAUCCUCCCUCUUCGUUUCCGGGCUUAACAAAGGGACGACAUCUGAACGCCUACUCCAAGAAUUUUCUAAGUUUGGCAAAGUUGUUCGCACUAGGGUGAUGAUCGAUAGAGAAGGUUGUUCUAAAGGGUAUGGUUUUGUACAAUAUGCCACUAUAGAAGAGGCUGCAAAAGGCAUCAAAAGCAUGAAUGGAAAGAACAAUAUCUAGAAGAUGAAAGUGUCAAAUUUCAACAAUGCUUCCAUCAUUCUUGAAAGCACAGCUUUGCAUAUUAGCCACAAAUUUUGCAACUGAUCUCAUCUUUAUUGGCUGAUUGCUUUGCUUCUGAUUGUUAAUCCUCCUCAACUUUCACAUCACUCUUAAUACUGCGAGUUCCCAAUGACGAAUGUGAUUGAUAAUGAGGAUCCUUUUCUAGCUUAUUCAUGCUGAUGUGAUCUAGGAGCUAAGUUGCUCUUGUUAAUUUGUUCUUUAAGUUUUUGGAUGGUUGGAUUAUAUUUGUAGAGUAUGCCAAAUCUAUCCCAGAACCUACGCAGCAAUCUCACCGGUAUCUCCGGCAGUAGAGGUUCGUAAUUGGCUGAGACGAUAAACAGGCCAAAUGCGGGUGGCUUGUCUUCGUGCUUCAAAUUCUAACUAGAAGCAUUAGUUUUUGUAGAAGUUUUAUAUUGUAGUGCAAUGGUUCUCUUUGGAUGCCGUGAUGUAUCAUAAAUUUGAUUUGUAAUAUCAAUUGGUUGAGAUGAGAGCUAACAUUAUUAUUCAUCAUAUAAAACAUACACAUUCACUUGUAUUUUCUGGGAAAAGGAAAAAGGAACAUUUUUUCCAAUCUUCAGUUCUUAAUUAUAUAUACAUCAAA